UUGUCAUGACUGGGGCAUGUUGGUGGUACUGGCAUUGAGUGGGUAGAGCCAGGGGUGCUGGGAAACACCCUACAAUGCUCGGGGCAGCUCCAAUACCAAGAACUAUCUAGCCCUGAAUGUCAGUAGUGCUGAGGCUGAGAAACCCCAACUUGAUGGGACCUCAGAAUGCUGCAGCCGCUUCUUAAUGGGAUGGAGGGGAGUCAACUGUGGUUUGUGUUUCUUGAUAUGUCACCUGUGCACAUUCCAGCAAAAGGACUGGUGUGAAGAGCCAGAGCCAGUCAUAUGAUGGCUGUGUCAUAGCUACGGGGCCAACACACACAGCCAUUAUCUGUUUUAGAAGAGACGUGUACUCUGCUUUUAGGUGAGCUUCCCAAAGCUUC